rnacentral:rRNA from 1 species
UUAAGUUAAUAAGGGCGCACGGUGGAUGCCUUGGCACUAGGAGCCGAAGAAGGACGUGACAAACGACGAUAUGCCUUGGGUAGCUGUAAGUAAGCGAUGAUCCAGGGAUUUCCGAAUGGGGGAACCCAACAGGUACUACCUGUUACCCAUAUCUGUUAAGGAUGUGAGGAGGAAGACGCAGUGAACUGAAACAUCUAAGUAGCUGCAGGAAGAGAAAGCAAAAGCGAUUGCCUUAGUAGCGGCGAGCGAAACGGCAGGAGGGCAAACCGAAGAGUUUACUCUUCGGGGUUGUAGGACUGCAAUAUGGACUUAAAGAUUAUAGAAGAAUGACAUGGGAAGGUCAGCCAAAGAGAGUAAGAGCCUCGUAUUCGAAAUAGUCUUUAUACCUAGCAGUAUCCUGAGUACGGCGGGACACGUGGAAUCCCGUCGGAAUCAACGAGGACCAUCUCGUAAGGCUAAAUACUACCUAGUGACCGAUAGUGAACCAGUACCGUGAGGGAAAGGUGAAAAGCACCCCGGGAGGGGAGUGAAAUAGUUCCUGAAACCAUGUGCCUACAAGUAGUCAGAGCCCGUUAAUGGGUGAUGGCGUGCCUUUUGUAGAAUGAACCGGCGAGUUACGAUAUCGUGCGAGGUUAAGCAGAAGAUGCGGAGCCGUAGCGAAAGCGAGUCUGAAUAGGGCGAAGAGUACGAUGUUGUAGACCCGAAACCGUGUGAGCUAGCCAUGAGCAGGCUGAAGGUCAGGUAACACUGACUGGAGGGCCGAACCAGGGCACGUUGAAAAGUGCUUGGAUGACUUGUGGCUAGGGGUGAAAUUCCAAUCGAACACGGAUAUAGCUGGUUCUCUCCGAAAUAGCUUUAGGGCUAGCCUCGAUGUUAAGUCUACUGGAGGUAGAGCACUGAAUGGGUGAUGGCCCCACCUCGGGGUACUGAUCUCAAUCAAACUCCGAAUGCCAGAUAGAUAUAAUCGGGAGUCAGACUGUGGGUGAUAAGGUCCAUGGUCAAAAGGGAAAGAGCCCAGACCGCCAGCUAAGGCCCCCAAGUGUCCGUUAAGUGGAAAAGGAUGUGGAGAUGCACAGACAACUAGGAGGUUGGCUUAGAAGCAGCCAUCAUUUAAAGAGUGCGUAAUAGCUCACUAGUCGAGUGACCCUGCGCCGAAAAUGUACCGGGGCUAAACGGACCGCCGAAGCUGCGGAUUGACUUUAGAGUCAGUGGUAGGAGAGCGUUCUAACAGCGGUGAAGCAGUACCGGAAGGAGCUGUGGAGCGGUUAGAAGUGAGAAUGCCGGUGUGAGUAGCGAAAGAUAGGUGAGAAUCCUAUCCAUCGAAAGCCUAAGGUUUCCAGGGGAAGGCUCGUCCGCCCUGGGUAAGUCGGGACCUAAGGUGAGGCCGAAAGGCGUAGCCGAUGGACAACAGGUUGAUAUUCCUGUACCACUUAUUAAACUGAUGGAGUGACGGAGAAGGCUAAGUUGAGCGUGUGAUUGGAUUCACGUGUAAGCAGUGAGGUGGUCAUGUAGGCAAAUCCGCAUGGCAUAACAUUGAGCUGUGAUGCCGAAGCCGAAUGGCGAAGUCAACUGACGUCACGCUUCCAAGAAAAGCUUCUAGGGUUAAUUUAAUAAGUGCCCGUACCGAUAACCGACACAGGUAGGCGAGGAGAGAAUCCUAAGAUGAGCGAGAGAACUCUUGUUAAGGAACUCGGCAAAAUGACCCCGUAACUUCGGGAGAAGGGGUGCUUGUGAAAGCAAGCCGCAGUGAAUAGGCCCAGGCGACUGUUUAUCAAAAACACAGGUCUCUGCUAAACCGCAAGGUGAUGUAUAGGGGCUGACGCCUGCCCGGUGCUGGAAGGUUAAGAGGAGAGGUUAGCGCAAGCGAAGCUUUGAAUUGAAGCCCCAGUAAACGGCGGCCGUAACUAUAACGGUCCUAAGGUAGCGAAAUUCCUUGUCGGG